rnacentral:rRNA from 1 species
GACGAACGCUGGCGGCGUGCCUAAUACAUGCAAGUCGAGCGAAUCGAUGGGAGCUUGCUCCCUGAGAUUAGCGGCGGACGGGUGAGUAACACGUGGGUAACCUGCCUGUAAGACUGGGAUAACUUGGGGAAACCGGAGCUAAUACCGGAUACUUUCUUUUCUCGCAUGAGGGAAGAUGGAAAGAUGGUUCUGCUAUCACUUACAGAUGGACCCGCGGCGCAUUAGCUAGUUGGUGAGGUAACGGCUCACCAAGGCGACGAUGCGUAGCCGACCUGAGAGGGUGAUCGGCCACACUGGGACUGAGACACGGCCCAGACUCCUACGGGAGGCAGCAGUAGGGAAUCUUCCGCAAUGGACGAAAGUCUGACGGAGCAACGCCACGUGAGCGAAGAAGGCCUUCGGGUCGUAAAGCUCUGUUGUUAGGGAAGAACAAGUACGAGAGUAACUGCUCGUACCUUGACGGUACCUAACCAGAAAGCCACGGCUAACUACGUGCCAGCCGCCGCAGUAAAAC